AAAAACAAUCUAGCUAUCCUACGUUGUUGCCUAAGCUACUACUACUUUCCUUGAGCGAACGCCCGUCAUAUAUAUUUAUAUGUAGCAUUCAGAUGAGAGGGUGAUCAGACGUGGAAUCGGUGAGAUCUCAAAGGGUCGACACUCGAGACUCUAGUUGCCUUGAUUGGAAUUUUCUUGUCUCGUAUUCCUUAUCUAUUCUAGAGGCC
rnacentral:lncRNA from 1 species